GCUAGAACUCCAAUGUACUGCAUAACACCCCACCCAGAAAAUUACAUCGAAACUCGUCUAUGAUCCAUCCAUUUUAUUAUAUAUCCGUGGGAAAAACCUAGAGAUACAAGGCCACAGAUUGAGCCAGAGAAGGAAAAACCUAGGGAUAAAAGGCCACAGAUUGAGUCUGGAGACCUUCUCUCUACGGCUUGUAAAAGCCUGUUUUUUAGGACGAAAACCCACCCGCUAUAUUAACUUCUCAGCAAAUAUUCCUGGACGAAAAUUCUAGCUGGGAGUUGAGUACGAAUGCUACAUCUUCUGGAGCGUUUCAGGACGACAAUUCAAGAUUGACGAGUAGAACAGUAAACCCUGUUAAACCAGUUGUAGCUGAAAAGUCAGUUAAUUCUUCAAGGAAGGGAGGAGAAGGUAGAAGGGUUGGGGAGGAGAGAGAAGAGCUGUGCAAUGAGUCAAAAAAAACUCCUUAAAAGAAAAGCUGAGAUCAUGGAGCUGGAACAUAUCCAUAAAUUAAAACUGGAGAAAGAGGAGGCUGAGGAAAAGAAAAAAACUCAAGAACUGCUUAGAACACAUGCCCAACUUCUUUUCGAUAAAAAAAUGGAAAUCCUUGUUUCCAUUCAAAAGUCCAUUGAGGACCCCGCUCAGAGAGCAUCAGUAAACUUUGCAUCAUUUUUUUUAAUGAUUUUCAAGCAGGGGGAUUUAUUUUCUACAAAUACAGUUUCACAUUAUUUGGUUACAUUUUACCAAAAAAUUCAUUAUUAUCCUCUUAAAAUCAUCCAAUUUUGCAAACUCAGCUAAUGAAUUCCUAAAAAAUAUAUCCCUUUAGCUUUUAUGCACAAUGCACAAU